rnacentral:rRNA from 1 species
GGUUAAGCGACUAAGCGUACACGGUGGAUGCCCUGGCAGUCAGAGGCGAUGAAGGACGUGCUAAUCUGCGAAAAGCGUCGGUAAGGUGAUAUGAACCGUUAUAACCGGCGAUGUCCGAAUGGGGAAACCCAGUGUGAUUCGUCACACUAUCGUUAACUGAAUACAUAGGUUAACGAGGCGAACCGGGGGAACUGAAACAUCUAAGUACCCCGAGGAAAAGAAAUCAACCGAGAUUCCCCCAGUAGCGGCGAGCGAACGGGGAGCAGCCCAGAGUCUGAAUCAGCUUGUGUGUUAGUGGAACGGUCUGGAAAGUCCGACGGUACAGGGUGAUAGUCCCGUACACCAAAAUGCACAGGUUGUGAACUCGAAGAGUAGGGCGGGACACGUGGUAUCCUGUCUGAAUAUGGGGGGACCAUCCUCCAAGGCUAAAUACUCCUGACUGACCGAUAGUGAACCAGUACCGUGAGGGAAAGGCGAAAAGAACCCCGGCGAGGGGAGUGAAAAAGAACCUGAAACCGUGUACGUACAAGCAGUGGGAGCACCUUCGGGUGUGACUGCGUACCUUUUGUAUAAUGGGUCAGCGACUUAUAUUCUGUAGCAAGGUUAACCGUAUAGGGGAGCCGCAGGGAAACCGAGUCUUAACUGGGCGUUAAGUUGCAGGGUAUAGACCCGAAACCCGGUGAUCUAGCCAUGGGCAGGUUGAAGGUUGGGUAACACUAACUGGAGGACCGAACCGACUAAUGUUGAAAAAUUAGCGGAUGACUUGUGGCUGGGGGUGAAAGGCCAAUCAAACCGGGAGAUAGCUGGUUCUCCCCGAAAGCUAUUUAGGUAGCGCCUCGUGAACUCAUCUUCGGGGGUAGAGCACUGUUUCGGCUAGGGGGUCAUCCCGACUUACCAACCCGAUGCAAACUACGAAUACCGAAGAAUGUUAUCACGGGAGACACACGGCGGGUGCUAACGUCCGUCGUGAAGAGGGAAACAACCCAGACCGCCAGCUAAGGUCCCAAAGUCAUGGUUAAGUGGGAAACGAUGUGGGAAGGCACAGACAGCCAGGAUGUUGGCUUAGAAGCAGCCAUCAUUUAAAGAAAGCGUAAUAGCUCACUGGUCGAGUCGGCCUGCGCGGAAGAUGUAACGGGGCUAAACCAUGCACCGAAGCUGCGGCAGCGACACUAUGUGUUGUUGGGUAGGGGAGCGUUCUGUAAGCCUGCGAAGGUGUGCUGUGAGGCAUGCUGGAGGUAUCAGAAGUGCGAAUGCUGACAUAAGUAACGAUAAAGCGGGUGAAAAGCCCGCUCGCCGGAAGACCAAGGGUUCCUGUCCAACGUUAAUCGGGGCAGGGUGAGUCGACCCCUAAGGCGAGGCCGAAAGGCGUAGUCGAUGGGAAACAGGUUAAUAUUCCUGUACUUGGUGUUACUGCGAAGGGGGGACGGAGAAGGCUAUGUUAGCCGGGCGACGGUUGUCCCGGUUUAAGCAUGUAGGCUGAUUGUCCAGGCAAAUCCGGAUAAUCAAGGCUGAGGUGUGAUGACGAGGCACUACGGUGCUGAAGUAACAAAUGCCCUGCUUCCAGGAAAAGCCUCUAAGCAUCAGGUAACAUUAAAUCGUACCCCAAACCGACACAGGUGGUCAGGUAGAGAAUACCAAGGCGCUUGAGAGAACUCGGGUGAAGGAACUAGGCAAAAUGGUGCCGUAACUUCGGGAGAAGGCACGCUGGUGUGUAGGUGAAGUCCCUGCGGAUGGAGCUGAGACCAGUCGAAGAUACCAGCUGGCUGCAACUGUUUAUUAAAAACACAGCACUGUGCAAACACGAAAGUGGACGUAUACGGUGUGACGCCUGCCCGGUGCCGGAAGGUUAAUUGAUGGGGUUAUCCGUAAGGAGAAGCUCUUGAUCGAAGCCCCGGUAAACGGCGGCCGUAACUAUAACGGUCCUAAGGUAGCGAAAUUCCUUGUCGGGUAAGUUCCGACCUGCACGAAUGGCGUAAUGAUGGCCAGGCUGUCUCCACCCGAGACUCAGUGAAAUUGAACUCGCUGUGAAGAUGCAGUGUACCCGCGGCAAGACGGAAAGACCCCGUGAACCUUUACUAUAGCUUGACACUGAACAUUGAGCCUUGAUGUGUAGGAUAGGUGGGAGGCUUUGAAGCGUGGACGCCAGUCUGCGUGGAGCCAACCUUGAAAUACCACCCUUUAAUGUUUGAUGUUCUAACGUUGGCCCCUUACCGGGGUUGCGGACAGUGUCUGGUGGGUAGUUUGACUGGGGCGGUCUCCUCCCAAAGCGUAACGGAGGAGCACGAAGGUUAGCUAAUCCUGGUCGGACAUCAGGAGGUUAGUGCAAUGGCAUAAGCUAGCUUGACUGCGAGCGUGACGGCGCGAGCAGGUGCGAAAGCAGGUCAUAGUGAUCCGGUGGUUCUGAAUGGAAGGGCCAUCGCUCAACGGAUAAAAGGUACUCCGGGGAUAACAGGCUGAUACCGCCCAAGAGUUCAUAUCGACGGCGGUGUUUGGCACCUCGAUGUCGGCUCAUCACAUCCUGGGGCUGAAGUAGGUCCCAAGGGUAUGGCUGUUCGCCAUUUAAAGUGGUACGCGAGCUGGGUUUAGAACGUCGUGAGACAGUUCGGUCCCUAUCUGCCGUGGGCGCUGGAGAAUUGAGGGGGGCUGCUCCUAGUACGAGAGGACCGGAGUGGACGCAUCACUGGUGUUCGGGUUGUCAUGCCAAUGGCACUGCCCGGUAGCUAAAUGCGGAAGAGAUAAGUGCUGAAAGCAUCUAAGCACGAAACUUGCCCCGAGAUGAGUUCUCCCUGAGACUUUAAGUCUCCUGAAGGAACGUUGAAGACGACGACGUUGAUAGGCCGGGUGUGUAAGCGCAGCGAUGCGUUGAGCUAACCGGUACUAAUGAACCGUGAGGCUUAACCUU